rnacentral:lncRNA from 1 species
CCAUGUGCGUGACCUGCGAGGUAUCCCACGAGCCGAUCGGCUGGUUGAACGCGGCGGCGCCAUAGAACAUGUACCUCAUGUUCGUGACCUUGGAGGUAUCCCACGAGCCGAUGGCUUGAUUGAACGCGGCGGCGCCUUGGAACAUGGCACCCAUGUUCGUGACCUUGGAGGUAUCCCACGAGCCGAUGGCUUGAUUGAACGCGGCGGCGCCUUCGAACAUGCGAGCCAUGUGCGUGACCUGCGAGGUAUCCCACGAGCCGAUCGGCUGGUUGAACGCGGCAGCGCCAUAGAACAUGUACUCCAUUCUCGUGACCUUGGAGGUAUCCCACGAGCCGAUGGCUUCAUUGAAAGCGGCGGCGCCACGGAACAUGUACCACAUGUGCGUGACCUGCGAGGUAUUCCACGAGCCGAUCGGCUGAUUGAACGCGGCGGCGCCAUAGAACAUGGACCCGAUGCUCGUGACCUUUGAGGUAUCCCACGAGCCGAUGGCUUGAUUGAAAGCGGCGGCGUCUCGGAACAUGUUCACCAUGUGCGUGACCUGCGAGGUAUCCCACGAGCCGAUGGCUUGAUUGAACUUGGCGGCGCCUCGGAACAUGUCCCCCAUGUGCUCGACCUGCGAUGUAUCCC